rnacentral:tRNA from 1 species
AGAGCUGGGGCUCAGUGGUAGAGUGCGUGCUUACUACGCGUGAGGUCCUGGGUUCCACGCCCAGUACCUCCA